rnacentral:rRNA from 1 species
CCCACCGGGAGCUUGCUCCACCAGGGAAAAGAGGAGUGGCGAACGGGGUGAGUAACACGUGGGUAACCUGCCCAUCAGAAGGGGAUAACACUUGGAAACAGGUGCUAAUACCGUAUAACAAUCGAAACCGCAUGGUUUCGUUUUGAAAGGCGCUUUACGGUGCCGCUGAUGGAUGGACCCGCGGUGCAUUAGCUAGUUGGUGAGGUAACGGCUCACCAAGGCCACGAUGCAUAGCCGACCUGAGAGGGUGAUCGGCCACAUUGGGACUGAGACACGGCCCAAACUCCUACGGGAGGCAGCAGUAGGGAAUCUUCGGCAAUGGACGAAAGUCUGACCGAGCAACGCCGCGUGAGUGAAGAAGGUUUUCGGAUCGUAAAACUCUGUUGUUAGAGAAGAAUAAGGGUGAGAGUAACUGUUCACCCCUUGACGGUAUCUAACCAGAAAGCCACGGCUAACUACGUGCCAGCAGCCGCGGUAAUACGUAGGUGGCAAGCGUUGUCCGGAUUUAUUGGGCGUAAAGCGAGCGCAGGCGGUUUCUUAAGUCUGAUGUGAAAGCCCCG